rnacentral:lncRNA from 1 species
CUGGCCUUUUCUGACCCAUCACUGUCUGUCGAUCCAAAGACUUUCCUUAAUCUGGUGCCUUCCCAAGCCAUUGGGGCUCACUGUAGUGCAUCCGUGGCCCUGUCCUUCUUCAUAUUCGAGCGUUGGGAGUGCACUACGUAUUGGUACAUUUUUGUCUUCUGCAGUGCCCUUCCAGCUGUCACUGAAAUGGCUUUAUUCGUCACCGUCUUUGGGCUGAAAAAGAAACCCUUCUGAUUACCUUCAUGACGGGAACCUAAGGACGAAGGCUACAGGGGCAAGGGCCGCUUCGUAUUCCUGGAAGAAGGAAGGCAUAGGCUUCGGUUUUCCCCUCGGAAACUGCUUCUGCUGGAGGAUAUGUGUUGGAAUAAUUACGUCUUGAGUCUGGGAUUAUCCGC